UACGUAGGGUCCGAGCGUUGUCCGGAAUUAUUGGGCGUAAAGGGCUCGUAGGCGGUUUGUCGCGUCGGGAGUGAAAACACGGGGCUUAACCCCGAGCCUGCAGUGGGUACGGGCAGACUAGAGGUAGGUAGGAGAGAAUGGAAUUCCCGGUGUAGAGGUGAAAUUCGUAGAUAUCGGGAGGAACACCAGUGGCGAAGGCGGCGAUCUGGGAAGAUACUGACGCUGAGGUGCGAAAGCGUGGGGAGCAAACAGG
rnacentral:rRNA from 1 species